ACUGGCAGGCUAGAGUCUUGUAGAGGGGGGUAGAAUUCCAGGUGUAGCGGUGAAAUGCGUAGAGAUCUGGAGGAAUACCGGUGGCGAAGGCGGCCCCCUGGACAAAGACUGACGCUCAGGUGCGAAAGCGUGGGGAGCAAACAGGAUUAGAUACCCUGGUAGUCCACGCCGUAAACGAUGUCGAUUUGGAGGUUGUGCCCUUGAGGCGUGGCUUCCGGAGCUAACGCGUUAAAUCGACCGCCUGGGGAGUACGGCCGCAAGGUUAAAACUCAAAUGAAUUGACGGGGGCCCGCACAAGCGGUGGAGCAUGUGGUUUAAUUCGAUGCAACGCGAAGAACCUUACCUGGUCUUGACAUCCACAGAACUUUCCAGAGAUGGAUUGGUGCCUUCGGGAACUGUGAGACAG
rnacentral:rRNA from 1 species